UUUAAAGUCAUACCACAUGUACAUUUAAAAUGUAUCAAAACUUUAUUUGUAGCUAAUACUAUUUAUGAACAUCCAUAUCUAUCGACCAUCUAGUUUACCUUGUUAUAUUAUUAAGCUCCCUUAUAGGUUCCUUUCUAAAUAAAAACUUUGAGUGGUUUAAUAAUCAGGGGUGGCAAUCCUCCCCCCGCCCGCGGGUGCUUGAAUUUCAUACGUUGUUUUGAAUCAACUAGAUUUAAGACCUUUGAAUCAUCAUUUUUUCUGUUAACUUCUGUAUACCCAUUUCCUCUACCUGCAAUAAACCAGUGAGACUUAGAACUCCAAGCUAGAAUUCUCAAAAUGACUGAAAGAAGAUUAGUACCUAAAAUGCUCAACAAAAGCCUUAUCAACAUCUUUCAAUCACAUGCACAUAUUCUAUUAUGUUCUGUAAAUGUUUGAAAAAUUAAUCGUUUUUGCUUCUAUUUAUUAGUAUGGCAAUUAAACAACAUGAAAUUCAACUUGGAGAGCCACUAGUUCAUGGCGAAAACAUGGUAACAAUAAUUUUCCUAUUAUAAUUUCUUUUUUACAUAACUAAAUCAUUUCAAAUUUACAGGUUCUAGUUCUAGUACCUGUACAAGUGAUGAUGUCAGUUCUCAACAAUGUGGAAGAAAAGAAAGCUAUACACCAACGAAAAGUAAAAUCUUCCCAGGUAAAAUCUACAAUAAAAAAUAUAGUUUAUAACAGAAAAUUCCCUAUAAUAGCUCUUUGAUUCUUAGGAUCAAAAGCUCUACACCAGCAAUACUUAUACAAACAUCAUCAAAGCCACACAAAAAAAAAACUACAAGUAGGUUUAGCUUAGCCAAGUACAAUAUGAAAAACAAAAAAACCGAAAAAAUCAAUCUCAAGGGGGGGGAGAUUGCCACCCCUGAUUAUAAAACCACUCAAAAGUUUCAUUUAGAAAGGAACCUAUAAAGGAGCUUAAUAAUAUAAUAAGGCAAACUAGAUGGUCGAUAGAUAUGGAUGUUCAUCAAAAUAGUAUUAGCUAUGAAUAAAGUUCUCAUACAUUUUAAAUGUACAUGUGAUAUGACUUCAAAGACACAAUCAUUCACAACUUCCUUAUGAAGAUAAUCCAUAAUAUGGUUGUAUUGUAAUAUUUUUCAUUUUUUUUUACAAGUGCUUGACUUAGUCAUACUCUAAUUUGCCAAUGAAGACAAAUUGGAAACAACUGCUACCAAGAUAAUGGAAGAAUAUAACAACAAAUGUGCAGCAAAAGAAAUGGCGGCAAAAAACCUGAAUCAAGUUAAAGCUAUGUGCAGCAGACUCGAAUCAAUCNNNNNNNNNNNNNNNNNNNNAUUGAUUUUUAAGAUGUCGUGUGAUUGAUUUGAGUCUGCUGCACAUAGCUUUAACUUGAUUCAGGUUUUUUGCCGCCGUUUCUUUUGCUGCACAUAUGUUGUUAUAUUCUUUCAUUAUCUCGGUAGCAGUUGUUUCCAAUUUGUCUUCAUUGGCAAAUUUGAGUAUGACUAAGUCAAGCACCUAGUAAAAAAAAAUGAAAAAUAUUACAAUACAACUAUAUUAUGGAUUAUCUUCAUAAGGAAGUUGUGAAUGAUUGUGUCUUUAAAGUCAUACCACAUGUACAUUUAAAAUGUAUUAGAACUUUAUUCAUAACUAAUACUAUUUGAUGAACAUUCAUAUCUAUCGACCAUCUAGUUUGCCUUGUUAUAUUAUUAAGCUCCCUUAUAGGUUCCUUUCUAAAUGAAAACUUUUGAAGAAACUUCUGUCGAAUUUUUAACACUGAGCUACAGUAUCACAUGCCGGACUUUGGCAAUGAGGUAAAAACCUAAAAAGAAUACAACUUUGGCAAUAGAAGAUCAACAUAUCAAAAUGAAAAGAAACAAACUUUGAUCAGAUCGGAUAAAACGAAUGGGAAUUUGGUCAAACCACAACUAUAAUAUCCUGGAAGUUUAUCGACGUAGCUUCAAUAGAAUCGGCAAUCAGGUAAAAACCCAAAAAGAAUACAACUUUGGCAAUAGAAGAUCAACAAAUCAAAAUGAAAAGAAACAAACUUUGAUCAGAUCUGAUAAAAAGAAUGGAAAUUUGGUCAAACAACAACCACAUAUCCCGGAAAUUUAUCGACGUAGCUUCAAUAGAAUCGGUAAAAACCCAUUUCAAAUGUCCGAUGAUUUAAUAAACGCAAAGAGAUUUGUUCAAAGAAACAAAACAACUUUGGCAAUCAAGUAAAAACUAAAAAGAAUAAAACUUUGGCCAUACCAUGAACAUGCCGGAUUCUGGGAGCUUCAAUAUAUCCAUCGGCAAGAUCUGAUAGAUCCACUGGUUUCGGUGCUAUUUCAUUUUGUUUGCUUCCUCGUACACAUACUACUUCCACCGCUCCUUCUGUUCCAGUUAAGUCUCCGCGCUGUCAUGUUUUGUUUCCUUUUCUUUCUUUUUCUUUUUUCUCCCCCAUAAUUAACUUUUAUUUCGAUUUUAUCAAUUUUAGGAAAGGAAAUUCUACCUGUGUAAAAAUGUUAUGAUUCUAUCUAUCUAUUUAGACUAUGUAUAUGUGUCUCGAGAACAUCUUUAGUGCACGGCGUGUAUCUUCACAUACAUACAUUGAUGGUCAGGAUUAGAUGAAAUAAAAUAGAAACAUAGUGGUCAAACAUAUGAAUUGUUAUAAACGAUUAAGAUUGUACCGUGCACGUCGUGCCAGUCUCAACGUCUUUUUCAAUUCAAAAUAAAGUUUUACCAUAGAC
rnacentral:lncRNA from 1 species